AUGUUUGAAUUGGGCUAUAUUAUGUUAUAUCUAGGUAUAGAUUCUUAUCAAGCUGCUUUAUUCCAUUUGAUCACUCAUGCUUAUUCAAAAGCUUUAUUAUUCUUGGGAUCCGGAUCCUUUAUUCAUUCAAUGGAAGCUCUUGUUGGAUAUUCACCAGAUAAAAGUCAAAAUAUGGUUCUUAUGGGAGGUUGA
rnacentral:rRNA from 1 species